rnacentral:rRNA from 1 species
GACGAACGCUGGCGGCGUGCUUAACACAUGCAAGUCGAACGGAAAGGCCCUGCUUUUGUGGGGUGCUCGAGUGGCGAACGGGUGAGUAACACGUGAGUAACCUGCCCUUGACUUUGGGAUAACUUCAGGAAACUGGGGCUAAUACCGGAUAGGAGCUCCUGCUGCAUGGUGGGGGUUGGAAAGUUUCGGCGGUUGGGGAUGGACUCGCGGCUUAUCAGCUUGUUGGUGGGGUAGUGGCUUACCAAGGCUUUGACGGGUAGCCGGCCUGAGAGGGUGACCGGCCACAUUGGGACUGAGAUACGGCCCAGACUCCUACGGGAGGCAGCAGUGGGGAAUAUUGCACAAUGGGCGGAAGCCUGAUGCAGCAACGCCGCGUGCGGGAUGACGGCCUUCGGGUUGUAAACCGCUUUCGCCUGUGACGAAGCGUGAGUGACGGUAAUGGGUAAAGAAGCACCGGCUAACUACGUGCCAGCAGCCGCGGUGAUACGUAGGGUGCGAGCGUUGUCCGGAUUUAUUGGGCGUAAAGGGCUCGUAGGUGGUUGAUCGCGUCGGAAGUGUAAUCUUGGGGCUUAACCCUGAGCGUGCUUUCGAUACGGGUUGACUUGAGGAAGGUAGGGGAGAAUGGAAUUCCUGGUGGAGCGGUGGAAUGCGCAGAUAUCAGGAGGAACACCAGUGGCGAAGGCGGUUCUCUGGGCCUUUCCUGACGCUGAGGAGCGAAAGCGUGGGGAGCGAACAGGCUUAGAUACCCUGGUAGUCCACGCUGUAAACGGUGGGUACUAGGUGUGGGGUCCAUUCCACGGGUUCCGUGCCGUAGCUAACGCUUUAAGUACCCCGCCUGGGGAGUACGGCCGCAAGGCUAAAACUCAAAGGAAUUGACGGGGCCCCGCACAAGCGGCGGAGCAUGCGGAUUAAUUCGAUGCAACGCGUAGAACCUUACCUGGGUUUGACAUGGAUCGGGAGUGCUCAGAGAUGGGUGUGCCUCUUUUGGGGUCGGUUCACAGGUGGUGCAUGGCUGUCGUCAGCUCGUGUCGUGAGAUGUUGGGUUAAGUCCCGCAACGAGCGCAACCCUUGUUCACUGUUGCCAGCACGUUAUGGUGGGGACUCAGUGGAGACCGCCGGGGUCAACUCGGAGGAAGGUGGGGAUGACGUCAAGUCAUCAUGCCCCUUAUGUCCAGGGCCUCACGCAUGCUACAAUGGCUGGUACAGAGAGUGGCGAGCCUGUGAGGGUGAGCGAAUCUCGGAAAGCCGGUCUCAGUUCGGAUUGGGGUCUGCAACUCGACCUCAUGAAGUCGGAGUCGCUAGUAAUCGCAGAUCAGCAACGCUGCGGUGAAUACGUUACCGGG